CCUACGGGAGGCAGCAGUGGGGGAUAUUGCACAAUGGGGGGAACCCUGAUGCAGCGACGCCGCGUGGGUGAAGGAGUGCUUCGGCAUGUAAAGCCCUAUCGGCAGGGAAGAAGCAAGACGGUACCUGACUAAGAAGCCCCGGCUAACUACGUGCCAGCAGCCGCGGUAAUACGUAGGGGGCGAGCGUUAGCCGGAUUCACUGGGUGGAAAGGGAGCGUAGACGGCCAUGCAAGCCAGGGGUGAAAGCCCGGGGCCCAACCCCGGGACUGCCCUUGGAACUGCAUGGCUGGAGUGCGGGAGGGGCAGGCGGAAUUCCUGGUGUAGCGGUGAAAUGCGUAGAUAUCAGGAGGAACACCGGCGGCGAAGGCGGCCUGCUGGACUGCGACUGACGUUGAGGCUCGAAAGCGUGGGGAGCGAACAGGAUUAGAUACCCUUGUAGUG
rnacentral:rRNA from 1 species